GCGGGCACCGGCCGACAUGGCGGCAGCGGUGGCGGCUGCGCUGGCGCGGCUUUUGGCGGCCUUUCUGCUCCUCGCGGCCCAGGUGGCCUGUGAGUACGGCAUGGUGCACGUGGUGGCCUGGCCCUGAGCUGGUCCUUUCUGGGUACCCUGGUGCCCUUGCCCUCUAGCCGGUGGGGCCGUGCUCGCCUGUGGUCCUAGCCAGGUGGCCUGAAGCCUGGCCCCUUUUCCAUCUUCUGUGAAAUGGGGCUGUGGUUGAGAGCUGGGGGCCUGGCAGGGCUGGUCACAGCACAGGGACAUGCCGACUGCUGGGCUGGGCAGGGUGCGUGGCCGCCCCUGAAGUGUAGUUUUGGAGUAAGAAGGAAUGGAGUUCAGGAAUUCCCUCACAGCUCUGCCUGUGGCUCUGGGCUGCCCCCGCCAGUGUUGCACCCUGAGCCUGGCAAUCCACGGAGGCCUGGUGCAGGGGCUCAGGGCCGAGGGCAGAGCAGGCCGGGCAGAGCCGAGAGUGCCAUCCCUGUCCGCACACGCUGCCGUCGUAGUUGAGAGAGGCCCUCAGUGGGUGCGGGGCUCAAGGCGGCUUAGUGGGCAGGCAUGGGCUGUGACAAGUAUCACUCAGGACUUGUAUGUGCGGUUCGGGAGUCCCACGGCCGAGGGAGGGAUUAGUGGCGCUUUUAGGCCUGGGGCCCUGUUGUCAGGUGAAGAAGGCUUGAUGCCCUUCGGCCUCCCUGUUCUUGGGUCCUCCUGGGGGGCCGGAGGCUGUCAGCUGCAGAGGGGGAGCCAGCAGGCGCCCCCAGCCUGACCCGAGCCUCGAGUGAGGGUCCCAGGAGAGGAGGCGAAUGGGCACAGAGCUGGGGGCCCACCCACUGCUGCGGGUGAUGCCUGCCGCUCCCUCCUCUGGGCCCCCAGGUCCCCCCGGGGGGUAAUAAGACGCAGUAUGAU
rnacentral:lncRNA from 1 species